GAUGAAGAACGUAGCGAAAUGCGAUACGUAAUGUGAAUUGCAGAAUUCAGUGAAUCAUCGAAUCUUUGAACGCAUAUUGCGCUCUCUGGUAUUCCGGAGAGCAUGCUUGUUUGAGUAUCAGUAAACACCUCAACUUCCAUAUCUUUUUUGAAAUGGGAGUUGGACUUGAGUGAUCCCAACGCUUUUCCUCACCGAAAAGUGGCGGGUUACUUGAAAUGCAGGUGCAGCUGGACUUUUCUCUGAGCUAUAAGCAUAUCUAUUUAGUCUGCCUAAAAAACAGAUUAUUACCUUUGCUGCAGAUAACAUAAAGGAGAUUAGUUCUUGUGCUGACUGAUGCAGGAUUCACAAAGACAGGCUUCGGCCGACUUUGUAAACUCGAUCUCAAAUCAAGUAAGACUACCCGCUGAACUUAAGCAUAUCAAUAAGCGGAGGA
rnacentral:misc_RNA from 1 species